ACAACAUUCAGAGCGUCGGUCUACCGAGCAAUAUCAGCCACUCGGUGGAAGAUCAUCGUCUUAUCGU
rnacentral:pre_miRNA from 1 species